CCUAAAACUUGUGGUUCUGCUCCAAACCCUCGAUCAAAACUUUAUGCAUUCAAACUCAGAAUACCUUCCGGAAUUUGAAAUUGCCCUCUCAACAAUUGGAAUUCCUCUCUCGCUCAAUGUUUCGCCUCUUGACUCACCUGUCUAUUUAUAUUCCUCUCACAAUUCCCAUUUCGAUUCAAUUUCUCUCUUGAAAUGUUGUAGAUUCCUCUCUCAUAACCGACAAUUUCUCUCGCUUGUUCAUCACAACAAUUUCCUAACGAUCCUUCUGCAAUAAGCCCUCCUUGUCUCGUCAUUUUGUUUCUUGUCAAUGUGGGUUUGUUCAUGUCGCUGACAUAGAUUGCUAGAAGACCAAGAUGAAAAAAGUAGCUCAAGACUAAUCAACUUUGCUCUCUAUUGACAUCUAUCCAUCUCGGCUUGAAUCACCAUUUUCUAUCAUAGAUACAUGAUGGAUAUAUAAUUAUUGUGUUUCAAUGCAUAAUGGAGAAGAAGUCGAAAGCCUGACAUGCCCAAAUAUCUAUCACUUUACCAAAUAACUCUAUGGAUAAAGAAUGUACCACAAAACCUUUAUCCUGCCUCUUUAAUUUUUUGACAAACUGAAUAUUGUGACCAUUUUCCAUUUUAUGAUUUUUUUUCCAUAUAAGAAUCAGGUUCUAUGUGUAUAAGAGGGAGCCUUGAGUUUCUACAGUUCAACUUAAGUCUAGUAAGCUAAUAAACUUUCAGUGGGUUUCAAAUUCGUUAAGCAGGAUCAUUCUAAAGAGGCUGCAGUUGGAUAUGUUCAGGAAGCUUGUGCCUAUGACCAAUACACUCUUCCUAAACUGUAUGUAAGAUGCAAUACUGAGUCUCAUGUGCUAUUCAUUCUCAUGUUGUGAGAGUCAGAUCUCGCAGUGAUAGGAGGAAGCGUGACCCUCAGAAUUUUAUCAGGUGCAGGCAUUGGCAGGUUCCUAUCCAUUUCCAAGUGUAAGCUAGCUCCAAGUCAUUCAAUUCCACUAAAUGAAUUCAUUCCCCAAUCCAAGUCAAGUCUUCCCAAGCAUCGCUCUUUUUUUAAUAAAUUAUGUUUUUUUUCUCCCUUCUCUUACUAGAAAAUUUUGUUGAUGCUAAAAGUUACAAUAUUUAUUGGAUUAGAUUGUUACAUUUGUUCAUUUUGCCCUUAGCUUAGCCUGCUAUUAGGUAGGUCAAAAGUAAUAAAAGUUACUAGAAAAUGAUGUUGAAAUGAUUUUGUUUGAUUGAAAUUGAUGUAAAAAUAGGUAAUUGAUGUAAUAUCUCACUCCAGAUUUUUAGAGAAAAAUCGGUGAUAAAACAUCAUCCACGUUUUCAAAAGUAAAGCAGCCAUACAUACCACACCUGUUUUUUCAAAACACAGGUAUUUAAGGAUGUUUUCUACAUCGGUUUUUUUACUAAAACCGGCCUCAAACAUUUCCUCAUGAUGCAUAAUUAAUAAAUAUUAAAACCUGUCAAAAAUAUUUAAC